CCCUUAUGCUGAAGACACAGUGAAACAUUCAUAGCCAUUACAGUAAAACCCAAAUUCUGACUUGUUCCUGCACUUAGCUACAACCAGAUUACAAUUCUGGUUAGAGCAUCCAUCUGCCUAAAAAUAAACAUUCCUAAUGACCUUAAUGAGCUACAGAGCGAUCCUGUGUCGAAGUCUCUUCAUGGGAAAAAACAUGUCACUCUUUGGAAGGACCUGCUGCAAAUCCCUGGUGAGGAACAGCCUGCGGUCCUGGAAACAACCAACACGGAGCUGUAAACGUAUGGAGGCAGAGGAUAGAAGCAUGGAAUGACCUGGGUUGGAAGGCAUCAUCCAGAUCCAUCCCAGGUUGGAAGGGCCUUCGCAGCACCUCCAGCCCCACCCCCACCAUGGGCUGGCUGCCCCCAGCUCAGGCUGACCGGGGUCCAUCCAUGGCCUCGGGCACCUCCAGGGAUGGGGCAGCACAGCUCUGGGCAGCAGUGCCAGCGCCUCACUGCCCUCCCUGCACACAUGGAAGAUAGCUCACAUGAAUUAUCACAGGUAGAGGCAGCAAGAGCACUUUGUAGCUCUGAAGCAGUCCCGCCAGGUGCCACAGCUCUGUGCCUGCAAACCAGGCACCUGGAACAGCCCCAGGUGGGAGCAGUGAUGUGUGUGCAUCCCGCUGCCCCUUGGCCAGCAGUGCGGGGCAUUGGGCAGCCACGGCACCUCAGCGGGGCUGGAGGAAGUCCCACACUCAUAAAUGUUUCAUUGCACUUCUGAAAAACAGACGGCCACUUUUUAGCAGUCUAUGAAACAAUAUUGUAAACAGUUCAACUAUUCUCCCCUCUGGUGCUGGAAGCUGCGAGAACAAUGCGCAUUCAGGGACAGAGCUCUCAGCCUUGGCUGCUCGCUGAUCGCCAGCACAGCCACGGCGCGACCCGCCGCUCCGCUGCCACAGGGAGGGGACAUCGGGGCUGCAUGGACCGGCAUGGCUGUGCUUCAUGAGAGCACCCACAGUGAGCUGGGAGGAGUCUGCUCAGACAGCACAGUCACUGCGGGCUUCCAGAUGAGGAUCCACCACCCAAGGCAGUUUAAUCCCAAAUUCCUCGUGAAACAGUUAUGCCCAGCACAGAACAUUCAUUGCCUGCAUUCCUUCCCAGACCACCUCUGCUCUGUGCCCUACGUGUGGUGCCAACAGCUGCCGCUUGGACAACCUGCACCAACCCCACCGACCCCACCAACCCCACUGCACUGCCAGGGGCUGAGCUGA
rnacentral:lncRNA from 1 species